rnacentral:lncRNA from 1 species
CACUUUUUCCCCAAUUUCCCCUCUUUUCCCCCAGGAUCGACUCCAGUGUGGAGGACGCCCAUCUCAACGUGGAGGCGGCUCACGGGGAGCUCCUCAAGUAUUUCCAGUCGGUGACGUCCAACCGCUGGCUGCUGGUCAAGAUCUUCCUCAUCCUCAUCGUCUUCUUCAUCGUCUUCGUCGUUUUCCUGGCCUGAAAUUCCUCCUUUUCCCCCCAUUUCUUCCUCACGGACACGGACACGGGGCCCCCUCCCCGCUUUUUCCAUCCCCCCUCCCCAAUUUGGGGUCUCUCUGCCCGGGCCGGGGUCUCCGGGAGCUUUGGGAAUCCUGGGAGUGCUCUGGGACCCCUCCCCAUGGACCACGGGACCCCCGAAAUGGGGUUGGGGACCCCUCAAGAGAGUCUGGGACCCCCAAAAUGGGGCUGGGGAACCUUCAGGAGAGCCCUGGACCCCCAAAGUGGGGCUGGGGACCCCUCAAGAGAGUCUGGGACCCCCGAAAUGGGGCUGGGGACCCCUCAGGACAGCCCGGGACCCCCCCCCGAGAAAGGGGUCGGGACCCCAUUGGUGACCCCAGGGAAUUCGGGGGGAUCCUCUGGGGUUUGGGGGGGCUGCAGGAUCCCAGGUAAAGGUGUGAGACCCCCGGGUGGGGGGGUCUGUGAACCCCACGAGCCUUUGGGGGGGUGCAGGACCCCCCUGAAAACCCCGGGACCCCCAAAAUGGGGGGGGGAGGGGUGGAGCUUGUUAAAACGGUGGGGGGGCUGCGGGACCCCCCUGGGGCCUCCAGCCCCCAAUUAAAGCCUUGGCACCCCCAAAAGGGGGGCUGUGGACCCCAUUAAAGCGAUUUGGGUUCCCCUGGGGGGGCUGCGGACCCCCAAAAUGGGCCUGGGGACCCCCAAAAUGGGCCUGGGGACCCCAUUCAAUUAACGGGGGGGGUGCUGCAGGAGCCCCCUGGGAACAGGAGCCCCCCGUUAAAGCCUUGGGGCCGCCGGGGGGGGUCUGGGGAUGCCCUGAGCCCUUCAGGGAGCCUUUGGGGCGGCCGCAGCCCCCCCCGAACCCC